CUUUGUAAUAUAUUUUCUUGUGUGUCUAGGUGUACGAGCAAUGCUGCAUUCAUUGGCAUGGCAGUCUACUACAUGCACCAGAGUAUAACUGAAGAUAUUAUUGACGUUGGUAUCUGAAGCAUCGCAAUCUUGGAGUUGGAAAAAAGCUUUAUCAAGACUCUUGCUGGAGGGGGCAGUAUAAUUAAGGGCACUGGUCUCAUGUCUGAUCAUCGAUAACACUGGAUCUUCGUUAGAGUAUGCAGUGUUUCUAAGAUGCAGGUUAUACGUAUGUACAACCAUGCAUUUAGUACAUAAAUGGUGAAAAAUUGAACAUAAUGGCAAGCAGUUGCAGCAAGGGGUAAUAUUUUCAAGUGGAUUCCAUGGAACAAAAUAGAAGAUUUUUAUUAAUUACUCCAGCCAAGAUUUGAUUUAGUAGUAGGGCAUAAUUUAUAAAAUUGAUUGUUUAGUGUAUAGCCUUAGUUUAGAGGGACGUGUCAGGCUUCUCAGAGCCUUUCUUCAAUCUGAGUUAUUUUCGUUAUUAUUAAGUUUACGUUUUCUAGUUCAGUACCAUAUACUCAAAUUUUGAAAGUAAAUUGUGCUGAUUCAAUUUAAAAAAUAUCAAUAAUCUGUUGUCAAAUUUCAUGCGCUUAUUGCGAGUUUAUACAAUUACGUUUAUGUUGUCUUAUUUAUAUACAUGUACGGAAUAAUGUUUAUAAUUUAACUAUAAGCUUAUAAUGAUAAGGAGAUAUCCCUACAAAACUUGGGGCCUGUGGGUGCGUCGCAUCUAGAUCCUUAUUAAACUAUUUCUAUCAAAAAUUGUUAUUGAGGCUUUGUUUUGCAUCAAAGCAUUUACAAAAUAUAUUUGCCUUGGUAAUAAGUUGUGUUUUAAAAAUAUCUACAACUUUUACAUUUAAUAUUUUCAUGCAAAACCUAAAGCUGCAAAGGUUUAUGGCCAAUAAUUGGAUUUUUAGCUGUUAAAAAACGAUUUUGGGCUCUUUACUCGAGUUAUAAGAAUUUUCAUGAUUUGAUGUCAACAGGAAAAAGUUAUAUUUUUCAAAAAUCUACAACUUUUUCAUAGAACUUUUAUUUUGUAGAAUGCUUGGAAUUCGAGUUAAAAAACCAAAAAACCGUUUUUAGCGAUUUUUGGAGGUGACGGCAUUCUGCGCAUUUGUGCAGGAUCAAGCCCAAAAUAAAUUUGGCACCUUACUAUUAUGAGAGGAGUUCGCACACAAAUUUUUAGCCUGAUUGAUUAAAGUCUUUCAGAGAUAAUCCUGUAACACCAAAAUUUUAACUAAAAAACACGCUAAAAUUGAAUAAAUUGUGCCCGCAUUUACAAAAAAAAACGUAGAUAAUCUAGAUAAAAAAAUUAAUUUUUAGGUCUGUGCGAGAGGAGACUCCUCCCAAAAUUUCAGCCCGAUCGGUCGAAAAUUGCGUGAGAUAUCGCAUCUCACACAUUCUUCGAUGACAAAACUAUAAGGCACUUCCGUGUCGCGGUCGUGCCUAAAAAUCAAAUUUAAUCGGUAAUGGAAAAAAAUUGAAUUGCGAAAUUAAACAAACGAUACCGUGACUAAAGUUUAAGGGGGCACACCACCUUUGAAAUUAAAAUCAAAAUUUUUUAUUAAAAAUUUAUAAAUACUCAUAUAAAUAAACCAAAUUUUUGUUACUAUUCUUAGACAUAAUUACCUUCAUUUUAAUGGUUUUCGACCUUUUAUGUACAUCUAUAAUACCUACGUAUAG